rnacentral:rRNA from 1 species
GUGUCAGCCGCCGCGGUAAUACAGAGGUCUCAAGCGUUGUUCGGAUUCAUUGGGCGUAAAGGGUGCGUAGGUGGUGUCGUAAGUCGGGUGUGAAAUCUCGGGGCUUAACCCCGAAACUGCAUUCGAUACUGCGGUGCUCGAGGACUGGAGAGGAGACUGGAAUUCACGGUGUAGCAGUGAAAUGCGUAGAUAUCGUGAGGAAGGCCAGUGGCGAAGGCGGGUCUCUGGACAGUUCCUGACACUGAGGCACGAAGGCCAGGGGAGCAAACGGGAUUAGAUACCCCGGUAGUCCUGGCAGUAAACGGUGCACGUUUGGUGUGGGCGGAUUCGACCCCGUCUGUGCCGGAGCUAACGCGUUAAACGUGCCGCCUGGGGAGUACGGUCGCAAGAUUAAA